GGAGCGCAUGGCGCGGCUGGAGGCGGCGCCGUGCUGAAGUCCCGGUGGGCGACGUUCGUCGCGCUGGCCCUCGGC
rnacentral:tRNA from 1 species